UUGAGCAGAUAAACAAGAAAUAUCUCAGGUUCAUCCUGUCUGCAAUCAAAUAAAAGCCAAAGUAAAUGCCUGAAACAAGGAUGGGAGUGAUGGGUUUUUCACCCUCGUCCCUCCACCUGAAACCUUAUGAGGAAGACCCUUACCUGUUAAGUUUGGUGUGCCGAAACUCCAGGAACCUGCACAGAGCUCUGGA